rnacentral:lncRNA from 1 species
CAAGCAAGCAAGCAAGCAAGCAGUUCUGCAGUGGAAAAUAGCUGGGUGCCGUCCAAUUCAAUUCUGACACUAUCUACCUGCAGAGCGUCAGAUCAGGAAGUUGAGGGCCCAGUCCUCAAAACCACACCACCCUUCAGACACCAGUUGGGCCUCUGGAUCUUCUGAUCUACGACCACCAGCUUUAAGUAGGGGUUCCCAUGACCCCUUCUUUGGGUUUAAUUUGCUAGAAGUGGCUCACAGAACUCAAGAAAACACAUUUACCAGUUUAUUAUGAAGGAUAUUCAAAGGAUAUAGAAGAAGACAUGCAUAGGGUGAGGGACCAGUCCCACCCUGAAGCUAUCAAUCAUUA